GAUCCUGGCUUAGGAUGAACGCUGGCGGCGUGCCUAACACAUGCAAGUCGAGCGGAGUCAUAUGUUGAUUCUUCGGAUGAUUUAUAUGACUUAGCGGCGGAUGGGUGAGUAACACGUGGGUAAUCUGCCCUGCACUGGGGGAUAACAGUUGGAAACGACUGUUAAUACCGCAUAUGCACACGUGGCCGCAUGGCCGUGGGUGGAAAGAUUCAUCGGUGCAGGAUGAGCCCGCGUCGGAUUAACUAGUUGGCAGGGUAACGGCCUACCAAGGUGAUGAUCCGUAGCCGGCCUGAGAGGGCGACCGGCCACAUUGGGACUGAGACACGGCCCAAACUCCUACGGGAGGCAGCAGUGGGGAAUAUUGCACAAUGGGCGCAAGCCUGAUGCAGCGACGCCGCGUGAAGGAAGAAGUAUUUCGGUAUGUAAACUUCUAUCAGCGGGGAAGAAGAUGACGGUACCCGACUAAGAAGCCCCGGCUAACUACGUGCCAGCCGCCGC
rnacentral:rRNA from 1 species